GAUGAACGCUGGCGGCGUGCCUAACACAUGCAAGUCGAGCGAUUUUCUUCGGAAAAGAGCGGCGGACGGGUGAGUAACGCGUGGGUAACCUGCCUCAUACACAUGGAUAACAUACCGAAAGGUAUGCUAAUACAAGAUGAUAUAAGAGAUUCGCAUGGAUUUCUUAUCAAAGCUCCGGCGGUAUGAGAUGGACCCGCGUCUGAUUAGCUAGUUGGUAAGGUAACGGCCUACCAAGGCGACGAUCAGUAGCCGACCUGAGAGGGUGAUCGGCCACAUUGGAACUGAGACACGGUCCAAACUCCUACGGGAGGCAGCAGUGGGGAAUAUUGCACAAUGGGCGAAAGCCUGAUGCAGCAACGCCGCGUGAGCGAUGAAGGCCUUCGGGUCGUAAAGCUCUGUCCUCAAGGAAGAUAAUGACGGUACUUGAGGAGGAAGCCCCGGCUAACUACGUGCCAGCCGCCGCAGUAAUAC
rnacentral:rRNA from 1 species